GCCCCCGUAGCUCAGUGGAUAGAGCAGUGGUUUCCGGUACCAUGUGCGCGGGUUCGAUUCCUGCCGGGGGUG
rnacentral:tRNA from 1 species